ACGGCUCAGUAACACGUGGAUAACCUACCCUUAGGACUGGGAUAACCCUGGGAAACUGGGGACAAUACCAGAUACAUGGAGAUGCCUGGAAUGGUUCUCCACUUAAAUGUUCCGACGCCUAAGGAUGGAUCUGCGGCCGAUUAGGUAGUUGUUGGGGUAACGGCCCAACAAGCCUUUGAUCGGUACGGGUUGUGGGAGCAAGAGCCCGGAGAUGGAUUCUGAGACACGAAUCCAGGCCCUACGGGGCGCAGCAGGCGCGAAAACUUUACAAUGCGGGAAACCGUGAUAAGGGAACUCCGAGUGCCCGUAAACGCGGGCUGUCCAUCUGCUUAAAAAACAGGUGAAGAAAGGGCCGGGCAAGACCGGUGCCAGCCGCCGCGGUAAUACCGGCGGCUCGAGUGGUGGCCACUAUUACUGGGCUUAAAGCGUCCGUAGCUUGGUUGUUAAGUCUCUUGGGAAAUCUGUCGGCUUAACCGACAGGCGUUUAAGGGAAACUGGCAAUCUAGGGACCGGGAGAGGUGAGAGGUACUCCAGGGGUAGGAGUGAAAUCCUGUAAUCCUUGGGGGACCACCUGUGGCGUAGGCGUCUCACCAGAACGGCUCCGACAGUGAGGGACGAAAGCUGGGGGAGCAAACCGGAUUAGAUACCCGGGUAGUCCCAGCCGUAAACGAUGCGCGUUAGGUGUAUCGGUGACCACGAGUCACCGAGGUGCCGAAGGGAAACCGUGAAACGUGCCGCCUGGGAAGUACGGUCGCAAGGCUGAAACUUAAAGGAAUUGGCGGGGGAGCAC
rnacentral:rRNA from 1 species